GGAGAGAUGGCUCAGUGGUUAAGAGUACCCGAAUGUUCUUCUGAAGGUCCUGAGUUCAAAUCCCAGCAACCACA
rnacentral:tRNA from 1 species